rnacentral:rRNA from 1 species
GACGUAGGGCGCGAGCGUUGUCCGGAUUUAUUGGGCGUAAAGAGCUCGUAGGCGGCUUGUUGCGUCAGCUGUGAAAACCCGCAGCUCAACUGUGGGCUUGCAGCUGAUACGGGCAGGCUUGAGUUCGGUAGGGGAGACUGGAAUUCCUGGUGUAGCGGUGAAAUGCGCAGAUAUCUGGAGGAACACCGGUGGCGAAGGCGACAUCCUGGACCGGUAUUGACGCUGAGGCGCGAAAGCCAGGGGAGCAAACGGG